UACGUAGGGGGCAAGCGUUGUCCGGAUUUAUUGGGCGUAAAGAGCGCGUAGGCGGCCUGGCAGGUCUGCUGUGAAAACUCGAGGCUCAACCUCGAGACGGCGGCGGAAACCAUCUGGCUAGAGUCCGGAAGAGGAGAGUGGAAUUCCUGGUGUAGCGGUGAAAUGCGCAGAUAUCAGGAAGAACACCCGUGGCGAAGGCGACUCUCUGGGACGGUACUGACGCUGAGACGCGAAAGCGUGGGGAGCGAACAGG
rnacentral:rRNA from 1 species